rnacentral:rRNA from 1 species
GACGAACGCUGGCGGCGUGCCUAAUACAUGCAAGUCGAGCGGACUAAUGGGAGCUUGCUCCCGUUAGUUAGCGGCGGACGGGUGAGUAACACGUGGGCAACCUACCUGUAAGACUGGGAUAACUUCGGGAAACCGGAGCUAAUACCGGAUGACAUAAAGGAACUCCUGUUCCUUUAUUGAAAGGUGGCUUCGGCUAUCACUUACAGAUGGGCCCGCGGCGCAUUAGCUAGUUGGUGAGGUAACGGCUCACCAAGACGACGAUGCGUAGCCGACCUGAGAGGGUGAUCGGCCACACUGGGACUGAGACACGGCCCAGACUCCUACGGGAGGCAGCAGUAGGGAAUCUUCCGCAAUGGACGAAAGUCUGACGGAGCAACGCCGCGUGAGUGAUGAAGGCUUUCGGGUCGUAAAACUCUGUUGUUAGGGAAGAACAAGUACAAGAGUAACUGCUUGUACCUUGACGGUACCUAACCAGAAAGCCACGGCUAACUACGUGCCAGCCGCCGCCGUAAGAC